UACGUAGGGAGCAAGCGUUGUCCGGAAUCAUUGGGCGUAAAGCGCGCGUAGGCGGCCCCGUAAGUCCGUUGUGAAAGUCAAAGGCUCAACCUUUGAAAGCCGAUGGAUACUGCAGGGCUAGAGUCCGGAAGAGGCGAGUGGAAUUCCUGGUGUAGAGGUGGAAUGCGCAGAUAUCAGGAGGAACACCAAUAGCGAAGGCAGCUCGCUGGGACGGUACUGACGCUAAGGCGCGAAAGCGUGGGGAGCGAACAGG
rnacentral:rRNA from 1 species